UUUUAGAGGGAAGUUGAAUUUAUGAUUUUCUUCCAUCAAUUUAACAAAGGCAAAAUUGAAGACGAGCUAUCGUUUCAGUCGUCAUAUUGUUCUAAAAAUUGACGAUUCGAUUGUUGACUCGCCUACAU
rfam:Beta vulgaris subsp. vulgaris Bvchr8.sca004.con0005.1, whole genome shotgun sequence.